AGAGGUGUGGCUCAAGUGGUGCAGUGCCUGUCUGGUAAACACAAGACCCUGAGUUCAACCCCCAGUACCACUC
rnacentral:tRNA from 1 species